rnacentral:misc_RNA from 1 species
ACUUGUGCAAUUCUAAUGCAACAAUAAAAAAAAGCAAUAUUCAUGAUUUCAUUGGGAAGCAAGCACGCAAGGUUCAAAAAGGUAGAGAAUUUAAGGCAAAAUUACAGAAGAUCACGUCUUAGCUGUUGUCUUAAAGACCAAUAAUAAAUAUUUGGAUAAGAAUCAAUUAGAUGAAUAAAAUGUUAACAAGAGACAUGAAUGUAGGUUGCUCAAAAUCUAUCUUAUUCGCCCAAAAAAGGGGAGGGGAUGAAAAGAAAAUAUAAAUUGAAAUCCCAAUGCAUACGAGAAAAUUGCAAAUACAAGAACCAAGAACAACCAACGCAAUCAAAUAGGAAAAAUUUAUAAAUUUUUUUUUUAAUUUUAAAAAUAUUAAAUUAAUUGUUGGACAAGGCUUCUCCUCUGAGCACCUCAUUAUACUUUCCCGGGAUGUAAAAAGGAGAUUAAAAUGUUUUUAGACUUUGGCACAAUAUUUUCUGAGCAAACAAACAGAUUGGAAUGCAAAAGUAUUACCAUGAUCCAACCAAAGAGAGCCGCU